GGGUUGUGAGGUUAAGCGACUAAGCGUACACGGUGGAUGCCCUGGCAGUCAGAGGCGAUGAAGGACGUGCUAAUCUGCGAUAAGCGUCGGUAAGGUGAUAUGAACCGUUAUAACCGGCGAUUUCCGAAUGGGGAAACCCAGUGUGAUUCGUCACACUAUCAUUAACUGAAUCCAUAGGUUAAUGAGGCGAACCGGGGGAACUGAAACAUCUAAGUACCCCGAGGAAAAGAAAUCAACCGAGAUUCCCCCAGUAGCGGCGAGCGAACGGGGAGCAGCCCAGAGCCUGAAUCAGUGUGUGUGUUAGUGGAAGCGUCUGGAAAGGCGCGCGAUACAGGGUGACAGCCCCGUACACAAAAAUGCACAUGCUGUGAGCUCGAUGAGUAGGGCGGGACACGUGGUAUCCUGUCUGAAUAUGGGGGGACCAUCCUCCAAGGCUAAAUACUCCUGACUGACCGAUAGUGAACCAGUACCGUGAGGGAAAGGCGAAAAGAACCCCGGCGAGGGGAGUGAAAAAGAACCUGAAACCGUGUACGUACAAGCAGUGGGAGCACGCUUAGGCGUGUGACUGCGUACCUUUUGUAUAAUGGGUCAGCGACUUAUAUUCUGUAGCAAGGUUAACCGAAUAGGGGAGCCGAAGGGAAACCGAGUCUUAACUGGGCGUUAAGUUGCAGGGUAUAGACCCGAAACCCGGUGAUCUAGCCAUGGGCAGGUUGAAGGUUGGGUAACACUAACUGGAGGACCGAACCGACUAAUGUUGAAAAAUUAGCGGAUGACUUGUGGCUGGGGGUGAAAGGCCAAUCAAACCGGGAGAUAGCUGGUUCUCCCCGAAAGCUAUUUAGGUAGCGCCUCGUGAAUUCAUCUCCGGGGGUAGAGCACUGUUUCGGCAAGGGGGUCAUCCCGACUUACCAACCCGAUGCAAACUGCGAAUACCGGAGAAUGUUAUCACGGGAGACACACGGCGGGUGCUAACGUCCGUCGUGAAGAGGGAAACAACCCAGACCGCCAGCUAAGGUCCCAAAGUCAUGGUUAAGUGGGAAACGAUGUGGGAAGGCCCAGACAGCCAGGAUGUUGGCUUAGAAGCAGCCAUCAUUUAAAGAAAGCGUAAUAGCUCACUGGUCGAGUCGGCCUGCGCGGAAGAUGUAACGGGGCUAAACCAUGCACCGAAGCUGCGGCAGCGACGCUGAUGCGUUGUUGGGUAGGGGAGCGUUCUGUAAGCCUGUGAAGGUGUGCUGUGAGGCAUGCUGGAGGUAUCAGAAGUGCGAAUGCUGACAUAAGUAACGAUAAAGCGGGUGAAAAGCCCGCUCGCCGGAAGACCAAGGGUUCCUGUCCAACGUUAAUCGGGGCAGGGUGAGUCGACCCCUAAGGCGAGGCCGAAAGGCGUAGUCGAUGGGAAACAGGUUAAUAUUCCUGUACUUGGUGUUACUGCGAAGGGGGGACGGAGAAGGCUAUGUUGGCCGGGCGACGGUUGUCCCGGUUUAAGCGUGUAGGCUGGUUUUCCAGGCAAAUCCGGAAAAUCAAGGCUGAGGCGUGAUGACGAGGCACUACGGUGCUGAAGCAACAAAUGCCCUGCUUCCAGGAAAAGCCUCUAAGCAUCAGGUAACAUCAAAUCGUACCCCAAACCGACACAGGUGGUCAGGUAGAGAAUACCAAGGCGCUUGAGAGAACUCGGGUGAAGGAACUAGGCAAAAUGGUGCCGUAACUUCGGGAGAAGGCACGCUGAUAUGUAGGUGAAGUCCCUCGCGGAUGGAGCUGAAAUCAGUCGAAGAUACCAGCUGGCUGCAACUGUUUAUUAAAAACACAGCACUGUGCAAACACGAAAGUGGACGUAUACGGUGUGACGCCUGCCCGGUGCCGGAAGGUUAAUUGAUGGGGUUAGCGCAAGCGAAGCUCUUGAUCGAAGCCCCGGUAAACGGCGGCCGUAACUAUAACGGUCCUAAGGUAGCGAAAUUCCUUGUCGGGUAAGUUCCGACCUGCACGAAUGGCGUAAUGAUGGCCAGGCUGUCUCCACCCGAGACUCAGUGAAAUUGAACUCGCUGUGAAGAUGCAGUGUACCCGCGGCAAGACGGAAAGACCCCGUGAACCUUUACUAUAGCUUGACACUGAACAUUGAGCCUUGAUGUGUAGGAUAGGUGGGAGGCUUUGAAGUGUGGACGCCAGUCUGCAUGGAGCCGACCUUGAAAUACCACCCUUUAAUGUUUGAUGUUCUAACGUUGACCCGUAAUCCGGGUUGCGGACAGUGUCUGGUGGGUAGUUUGACUGGGGCGGUCUCCUCCUAAAGAGUAACGGAGGAGCACGAAGGUUGGCUAAUCCUGGUCGGACAUCAGGAGGUUAGUGCAAUGGCAUAAGCCAGCUUGACUGCGAGCGUGACGGCGCGAGCAGGUGCGAAAGCAGGUCAUAGUGAUCCGGUGGUUCUGAAUGGAAGGGCCAUCGCUCAACGGAUAAAAGGUACUCCGGGGAUAACAGGCUGAUACCGCCCAAGAGUUCAUAUCGACGGCGGUGUUUGGCACCUCGAUGUCGGCUCAUCACAUCCUGGGGCUGAAGUAGGUCCCAAGGGUAUGGCUGUUCGCCAUUUAAAGUGGUACGCGAGCUGGGUUUAGAACGUCGUGAGACAGUUCGGUCCCUAUCUGCCGUGGGCGCUGGAGAAUUGAGGGGGGCUGCUCCUAGUACGAGAGGACCGGAGUGGACGCAUCACUGGUGUUCGGGUUGUCAUGCCAAUGGCACUGCCCGGUAGCUAAAUGCGGAAGAGAUAAGUGCUGAAAGCAUCUAAGCACGAAACUUGCCCCGAGAUGAGUUCUCCCUGAC
rnacentral:rRNA from 1 species